UUUCUCAGGAUAGUUCCCCAUCGCCGCCCACAAUCUCCCCGUUCCCCAUUCUAUCCUCCUCAGCCGGCGCUCCCUUGGCAGGCCGCCCCCUCCCCUUCGUCACCACCGCCGGUGCUCCUGGUCAGGCCGUCCCUCCCCUUCCUCACUAGCGCUGACGCUGCCUGGCAGGCCGCCCCUCCCAUUUGAAUCAGGUCGCGGAAGUGGCCGAUGUGGCCCUCGAGCUCGGCAUGCUCGCGCCAGCGCUUGACGCCGUUGGAUGCGGACGCGGAGGCGCGGGACUCGCAGGCCCUACUCUACCCCGCUCCUUCGAAUCUGCCCCAGAAGUGCUCGAGGAGGCGCUCGAGCUCGGCAUGCUCGCCGAAGACGCCGGGCCCUCCAUCCUCCUGAUGCCCUCGCCGUCGCCGCCAUGAACAUCUCCACCAUCUCCGGCGCAAUCGUCCGGGUCCAGAUUUCCCAAAGGAGAAGGAGGAGGUGCCGAAAGAGGAUGGGAGCAACAAGUCUGAAUCGAAGAAAUCAAUUUUCUUCACCCCACGGGAGAAGUUAGAAGAUGUAUUCUUGGGAGUUCCCAGCGACUUUGAUGUAUGUUGGAACAGUGGGAUUCAAAUUUGGAGUAAUACAUCUUGCCCAGUUUUGCCAUGUAGAAGCACACUUUUAAGGUCAAGAUCCCCACAAGAUCAAAAUGGUAGAAGGUCUGGCGUGCUGGCGCUGCUUUUGAGCGUGGCACAGAUGGGCUGGAUCCUCGGCCACAUCGCCCUCAUCGUCUGCGCCUACAUCACCUACUACACCCCGUCCUCCUCUCCUACUGCUACCGCUGGCCGGAACCCGUCCACGCAAACGGAACUACACUUGUACAUGGACGCCGUCCGCUCCUGUCUUGGGCCUAGAGAUGUAGCUAUAUAUGUGUGGCAUUGCACAGUACAAGAUUCUCUAUGCAUCACAGUUGCCACGGGCAUCAUGUCCGUGGUGCCCAGCAACUGCCGCCAUUAAAAGGGCCACGACGCAAACUGCAGCCAGAUGGGACGAUGUGCCUGGUGCUGUGCGGCCUCGCCAAGGUCAUCCUCUCGCAGUUGCUGGGCCUGGAGAUCUGUUACCUUCGUCUCCAUAAUCGCCGCCGUCAUGUCCUUCACCUACUCCUUCAUCGCCCUCUUCCGGGGUGCCGCGACCUGCGCGUAAGGAGAGGCCAGUGGAGCCGUGCGUUGGUCGGCGGCCAAACGAAGGAGCGGCAGGCGGUGACCUAUGUGUAAGGAG